UUGCAAAUCCAAAAAUCGAAA
ensembl:piRNA 21ur-6306 ncRNA